UGAGGAAUAUUGGUCAAUGGACGAGAGUCUGAACCAGCCAAGUAGCGUGCAGGAUGACGGCCCUAUGGGUUGUAAACUGCUUUUGUUUGGGAAUAAUCGACAUUACGUGUAAGGGUUUGCAUGUACCAUUCGAAUAAGGACCGGCUAAUUCCGUGCCAGCAGCCGCGGUAAUACGGAAGGUCCAGGCGUUAUCCGCAUUUAUUGGGUUUAAAGGGAGAGUAGGCGGUUGUUUAAGCGUGUUGUGAAAUGUAGAUGCUCAACAUCUCACUUGCAGCGCGAACUGGCUUACUUGAGUACACCCAACGUAGGCGGUAUUCAUUGUGUCGCGGUGAUAUGCUUAGAUCUCAUGACGAUCUUCGAUUGCGCAGGAAGCUUACGUGAGUGUUACUUACGCUUAAGCUCGUAGGUGCGGGUAUCGAACAGG
rnacentral:rRNA from 1 species